rnacentral:rRNA from 1 species
AACGAACGCUGGCGGCAGGCUUAACACAUGCAAGUCGAACGCGUGCAGCAAUGCACGAGUGGCGCACGGGUGAGUAACGCGUGGAUAUCUGCCUUUUGGUUCGGAAUAACCCCGGGAAACUGGGGCUAAUACCGGAUGGUUCCUACGGGAUAAAGAUUUAUCGCCAAAAGAUGAGUCCGCGUACGAUUAGCUAGUUGGUGAGGUAAUGGCUAACCAAGGCGACGAUCGUUAGCUGGUCUGAGAGGACGAUCAGCCACACUGGGACUGAGACACGGCCCAGACUCCUACGGGAGGCAGCAGUGGGGAAUAUUGGACAAUGGGGGCAACCCUGAUCCAGCCAUGCCGCGUGAGUGAUGAAGGCCUUCGGGUUGUAAAGCUCUUUUGGCGGGGACGAUGAUGACGGUACCCGCAGAAUAAGCCCCGGCUAACUUCGUGCCAGCAGCCGCCGUAACAC